AUGGCAUUGCUUGAUCCAAGUACAAAUUGAAUAUCAUGUCGUUUAUAAAAUGGUCACAUAGACGACAUUUCGUACGACUUCCAUAAAUUGUAUGUCAUGUCUUUCAUAUUCUCUGUACAAGGAUGACAAUGUUAUAAACUAAAGUCGUAUGCCAUGCCAUUCAUAAAUUUAUAAAAUAUAUGGCUUAUCAGACGAAAGGAAUUAUGUAUGCAUUGUCGUGUUACUUUUCUAAACGAAAAUGAAAUGUCACAUUUAAAACUGAUUGAAUUAUUUUAAAAAAAUCGUUGAAGUUUAAUUAUUUUACGUCAGUAAGUAUCAAUG
rnacentral:lncRNA from 1 species